rnacentral:rRNA from 4 species
AAAACGACUCUCGGCAACGGAUAUCUAGGCUCUCGCAUCGAUGAAGAACGUAGCAAACUGCGAUACUUGGUGUGAAUUGCAGAAUCCCGUGAACCAUCGAGUUUUUGAACGCAAGUUGCGCCCAAAGCCGCUAGGCUGAGGGCACGUCUGCCUGGGCGUCACG